AUUGAACGCUGGCGGCAGGCCUAACACAUGCAAGUCGAGCGAGCGGCGGACGGGUGAGUAAUGUCUGGGAAACUGCCUGAUGGAGGGGGAUAACUACUGUAAACGGUAGCUAAUACCGCAUACCAUCAGAUGUGCCCACAUGGGAUUAGCCAGUAGGUGGGGUAACGGCUCACCUAGGCGACGAUCCCUAGCUGGUCUGAGAGGAUGACCAGCAAAACUGGAACGGAGACACGGUCAAGACUCCUAGGGGAGGAGGCAGAGGGGAAUAUUGCACAAUGGGCGCAAGCCUGAUGCAGCAAUGCCGCGGGUGUGAAGAGGGACUUCGGGUUGUAAAGCACUUUCAGCGGGGAGGCGUUACCCGCAGAAGAAGCACCGGCUAACUACGUGCCAGCAGCCGCGGUAAUUC
rnacentral:rRNA from 1 species